AUACCUCCCCCAAAUCCCCCCAUCAGAUCUCAUCAGAAAACAGAGGGGGUUUCAGAGGGCGUCUUAAUAAACGCUUUCGACUCUUCUUCUUGUUUGUGAGAGCCUCUCUUUCUUCGAUUUCUUCGGUUUCGUUUCGCGGUUUCGAUCGGCAAAGAUGAGGGAGUGCAUUUCGAUCCACAUCGGUCAGGCUGGGAUCCAGGUCGGCAAUGCCUGCUGGGAGCUUUACUGUCUUGAGCAUGGCAUUCAGCCUGAUGGCCAAAUGCCUAGUGACAAGACCAUCGGUGGAGGUGAUGAUGCCUUCAACACCUUCUUCAGUGAAACUGGAGCUGGCAAGCAUGUGCCUCGCGCUAUUUUUGUUGAUCUUGAGCCCACUGUUAUUGAUGAAGUGAGGACUGGAACUUACCGCCAGCUCUUCCACCCUGAGCAACUUAUUAGUGGCAAGGAAGAUGCUGCCAACAACUUUGCCCGUGGUCAUUACACCAUUGGCAAGGAGAUUGUUGAUCUCUGCUUGGACCGCAUCCGUAAACUUGCUGACAACUGCACUGGGCUUCAAGGGUUCCUUGUUUUCAAUGCUGUUGGUGGAGGAACCGGCUCUGGUCUUGGGUCCCUUCUUUUGGAGCGUCUCUCUGUUGACUAAGGAAAGAAGUCAAAGCUUGGUUUCACUGUGUAUCCAUCUCCACAGGUUUCUACAUCUGUGGUUGAGCCCUACAACAGUGUCCUCUCAACCCACUCCCUCCUGGAACACACCGAUGUUGCUGUUCUCCUUGACAACGAGGCUAUCUAUGAUAUCUGCAGGCGCUCUCUUGACAUUGAGCGACCCACCUACACCAACCUCAACCGCCUUGUGUCUCAGGUCAUUUCCUCUUUGACUGCUUCUCUGAGGUUUGAUGGUGCCCUUAAUGUGGACGUGACUGAAUUCCAGACCAACUUGGUCCCAUACCCCAGAAUCCACUUUAUGCUUUCCUCAUAUGCACCAGUCAUCUCUGCGGAGAAGGCGUACCAUGAACAACUCUCUGUGGCUGAAAUCACCAACAGUGCCUUCGAGCCCUCAUCCAUGAUGGCAAAGUGUGACCCCCGCCACGGCAAAUAUAUGGCCUGCUGUCUGAUGUACCGUGGUGACGUUGUACCCAAGGAUGUGAAUGCCGCUGUUGCCACCAUCAAGACCAAGCGCACCAUUCAGUUUGUGGACUGGUGUCCUACUGGAUUCAAGUGCGGCAUCAACUACCAGCCACCAACUGUUGUCCCAGGAGGCGACCUUGCCAAGGUGCAGAGGGCUGUGUGCAUGAUCUCUAACUCGACCAGUGUUGCUGAGGUGAAGGAGAGUUCUCUGAAGCCCGUGAGGAUCUUGCUGCCCUUGAGAAGGAUUAUGAAGAAGUUGGUGCCGAGUCCGCUGAAGGUGAGGAUGAUGGAGAAGACGAGUACUAAGCGUCUUGAAUUGAAGUUUCUAUGGUUUGUCAUUUUUCUAUUCUUGUGUAUCGUUUGUUGGUUUGCCCAGAAGACCUUGUGUUGUAAUGGCUUCAGCUCUGUUGAAAACUAUGUUUUGUUUUUGCCUACUUGAUUUGCAAUGCGAGUUGCCAAUGUUAAUUUCUUACAAUAAUUUCCCCCUUGUAUUGUGUCGUUUAAGAUUUAACCUUUGGUUCUGUUGCCGGA